rnacentral:sRNA from 12 species
UGAGCUGGUCGAAAGACCAGGGUCCACACAUUGGCGGGUAAGACACUC